UAAUUAAAGAGUUUUUGACACUAACUUCUUUGUAGCAAGAUUCUCCGUAAAAUAAUUGACAACCCAAUUUGCAGACGUGAGCGUCUUGUUUAUCAUGAUCGAGGGAUCCUACAUAGCCACAGCAAGUAUAUUUACAGUACUGGAAAAAUAUCAACUUGAAACUUAAUUAUGGACUUCCUGAGCCAUGAAAACACACCACUCUUGAGGUUUUAUCAGGAUUCACCAUUAGUUAAUUAGUGAUGGCUUGACGCUCCUUCGUCUUCCAGCAAUCAUCUAUGGCAAUGUUCUCAUGUGCAUAGUCAAGCAUUUCCGAUGACUUUAUUACUUCAUAAAAGGUAAAAAAAUAUUUUAGCUGAUGUUACUUCCAAUUUAUUUUAAGUAUCCCAAUUUUAAGGGCAGGCACUUCACUCAACAUAGCCAAACCAAUAGCAAACUUACAAAUACAAGAUUCUAGUAGGGAGAGUAUAAUUAAUGAUUCCAGAGAUGAGUGAAUAGAAAUUAUGAAGGUUUGCAAAAGAAAAGUGUUUUAUGAUCUUACAGAACCUUAGGGAAAUCGUAAAUUGGAUAUGCCCAGUAGCAUUCAAUUGAAAUGUCCAAUUUUUCUUCAAUUUUAACAAAAUUUGAGUAAAAUUUGGCAAUAAGAUAUACCUUGAAAUACUGGAAAACAAAUCUAAAUGACACUAGAUCUAAUCGAUCUAUUUAUACUUAAACCAAUCUACUUCGUAAGAUGAUGGAACGAAAAAACAACUUAAGUUACUGAGAAAUUUGAUAAUUUUAGUCCGUAGUCCAUGACUUAUUCUUGAGUGUGCCGUCAAAGAUUUCUUUCUCCUAUUGUUUGAAUUAUUAAUGUAUUCCCUCCCCGCAAUAUUCCUAAAUUCAUGAAGUUUAAAGUUUUGUUAACCGAGGGGACAUAUCCGACGUCAAUAUUCUAAUAUUUUACGGAGUUUUAUUCUUUAAGACAUUAUACACAUCGUCUCGACAGUAUGGCUUUUUUCCUUUACUUCAUUGCAAGUUUCAGAUCGCAGAAGGGUUCCAACUUUGCUUCAAUACGAUUGAGUGCGUAUAAAGCCUUUUUCUGUACUUACCUCGUUUUACUUGUUUCUCUUAAAAAACUUUUAAUAGCUUUUCCUGUUAGAUUCUUUUGAUAGUAAACAAUAGUUUGAGGGUUAUGGGUGUAUUUAUUACUGUAUACUUUUUGUCAAUAAUACAAAAGCUGAGCACAUUACCAUAAUUUGUCGCUACAAGCAUUGCAGUUUCUUAUCACCUGUUGAGAUUUUUUA